CUUUUACAAUGAAGAGUUUGAUCCUGGCUCAGGAUGAACGCUAGCUACAGGCUUAACACAUGCAAGUCGAGGGGCAGCAUUUUAGUUUGCUUGCAAACUAAAGAUGGCGACCGGCGCACGGGUGAGUAACACGUAUCCAACCUGCCGAUAACUCGGGGAUAGCCUUUCGAAAGAAAGAUUAAUAUCCGAUAGUAUAUUAAAACCGCAUGGUUUUACUAUUAAAGAAUUUCGGUUAUCGAUGGGGAUGCGUUCCAUUAGUUUGUUGGCGGGGUAACGGCCCACCAAGACUACGAUGGAUAGGGGUUCUGAGAGGAAGGUCCCCCACAUUGGAACUGAGACACGGUCCAAACUCCUACGGGAGGCAGCAGUGAGGAAUAUUGGUCAAUGGACGAGAGUCUGAACCAGCCAAGUAGCGUGAAGGAUGACUGCCCUAUGGGUUGUAAACUUCUUUUAUAUGGGAAUAAAGUAUUCCACGUGUGGGAUUUUGUAUGUACCAUAUGAAUAAGGAUCGGCUAACUCCGUGCCAGCAGCCGCGGUAAUACGGAGGAUCCGAGCGUUAUCCGGAUUUAUUGGGUUUAAAGGGAGCGUAGGUGGAUUGUUAAGUCAGUUGUGAAAGUUUGCGGCUCAACCGUAAAAUUGCAGUUGAAACUGGCAGUCUUGAGUACAGUAGAGGUGGGCGGAAUUCGUGGUGUAGCGGUGAAAUGCUUAGAUAUCACGAAGAACUCCGAUUGCGAAGGCAGCUCACUAGACUGCAACUGACACUGAUGCUCGAAAGUGUGGGUAUCAAACAGGAUUAGAUACCCUGGUAGUCCACACAGUAAACGAUGAAUACUCGCUGUUUGCGAUAUACAGUAAGCGGCCAAGCGAAAGCAUUAAGUAUUCCACCUGGGGAGUACGCCGGCAACGGUGAAACUCAAAGGAAUUGACGGGGGCCCGCACAAGCGGAGGAACAUGUGGUUUAAUUCGAUGAUACGCGAGGAACCUUACCCGGGCUUAAAUUGCAAAUGAAUAAUCUGGAAACAGGUUAGCCGCAAGGCAUCUGUGAAGGUGCUGCAUGGUUGUCGUCAGCUCGUGCCGUGAGGUGUCGGCUUAAGUGCCAUAACGAGCGCAACCCUUAUCUUUAGUUACUAACAGGUCAUGCUGAGGACUCUAGAGAGACUGCCGUCGUAAGAUGUGAGGAAGGUGGGGAUGACGUCAAAUCAGCACGGCCCUUACGUCCGGGGCUACACACGUGUUACAAUGGGGGGUACAGAAGGCAGCUACCUGGCGACAGGAUGCUAAUCCCAAAAACCUCUCUCAGUUCGGAUCGAAGUCUGCAACCCGACUUCGUGAAGCUGGAUUCGCUAGUAAUCGCGCAUCAGCCAUGGCGCGGUGAAUACGUUCCCGGGCCUUGUACACACCGCCCGUCAAGCCAUGAAAGCCGGGGGUACCUGAAGUACGUAACCGCAAGGAGCGUCCUAGGGUAAAACUGGUAAUUGGGGCUAAGUCGUAACAAGGUAGCCGUACCGGAAGGUGCGGCUGGAACACCUCCUUUCU
rnacentral:rRNA from 1 species